ACAAAUGGCUAACUAGAAUAACCAGUGUAGAGAAGUCCUUAAAUGACCUGAUGGAGCUGAAAACCAUGGCAUGAGAACUACGUGAUGAAUGCACAAGCUUCAGUAGGCAAUUCGAUCAACUGGAAGAAAGAUAUCAGUGAUUGAAGAUCAAAUGAGUGAAAUGAACAAUCCUCCCCUCAUCCAUGGUUUCAUUUUCUGUGGUUCCAGUUACUCAUGCUCAACCAUGGUCAGAAAAGAGGACAAAUUGAGAGUGAAAGAUGCAGGAAUAAAACACAGAAAUCAAAAUAAAGGGUUUACUGCUGAAAAAUCCGCUUGAACAAGCCUGUUAACGUGUCCUUCCUGAAUGAAGCCAGCUUACCCCUAGGCCUCCACUGUCCCUCAGGAGAGAGAACACGAAAACUGGAACUCUCUGCAGAAAGGAGGAUCCCAAAGAAGGGGCCAAGCUGUACAUUUAUCAAUCAGGAAAGCCACUCCACCCUCCAUGGCAGCAAUUUGAAACAAGUAUUCUUCCUAACAUAACAUGAGUUUAUCAGUUCAUUUCAUUUUUACUUUGAGAUUUUUGUGAAUAACUAUAGAAAAAUCUAUUUCACCUGGCAAUAAAUAGGAAAAGGCACAGCAUAAUGUUUAAAUACAGAGAAUAUUGUUACAUGUAAGAUGUUGAUCGAAUGUUCUAAAUACAAUUUGAAAACUGUGUGAGAGGAGGAAAAGGUAUAUUCAGAAGGACUUAGGUGAAGCCAGAUGAAUAUUUUCAUGACAGGAUGUUGGCUAUUGAUAUGAAGAAAGUAGAGGAAUAGACUUGCUAAAAGUUAGAGGAGUCUAGUUUAUCUUCCAAGAAGCUUUGCAACCCUGUAAUACUGUAGAAAUCACAAAUUUGGCAAUAAUUUUAAGAUAAUUUAUGUUCAUUUUUUAUGGAAUGCCAUGUUUAUUUUUUUAUAUAUGACAUUUUCUGGUCAGUAGUAAUAUAUAUCCUUUAUUAAAAUUGGAAAGUAAAUACAAACAUUUUAUUUAUUUGUUGGUUAAAAAAUUAUUAUCCUCAUUCUUCUUUUUUUUUUUAACCAGUAAAGAUCUGGAUAAAGAAAAACAUUUUAGAAAACCGCUUGUAGAGUACCAUGAACCAGUCUCUCUUCUCCAUUUUAAAAAAUUUAUUGACUCACUUUUUUUCCAUAACUUUUUGAGAUAUUAUUUCAACCACUUUGCAUUUAGAGAAAAAGAGGCAGAGGCUGAUUAAGAAAUCUGCCCAAUGCUAUACUGAUAGAAGUUGGGAUAGCUGGGAUUUGAGCUUACAUAGGCUAGUUCUAGCAUUUGUGAAGUUCUCACCUAAUAAAAAUUAUCUGUAAUCAUAACCAGAGCAAGUCAUUUCUAGCCUUCUGUCUAUAGACACGCAGAUACAUUUGUAAUGUUUUUGUUUGUUUGUUUUUAGCACGACAGAUCAAUUCCUGCUGGCAUUAUAGUUCUUUAACUAUCAUAGCUUCUCUGAUUUUUCAACACAUCUGUCAUCCUUAUUCUGCAGGCAUAGCCAACUCUGUCAGUGCCUCCUCAGGCAAUCAGAAUCAACAGAUAGAAUGUAGGACAGAAAACUGGCUGCAAACAUGUUGGAAGGGCUGGAGGAGCAAAAGAGGGAAGAUCUGUUACCUAGAGAUAGUAACUUCCAGAAGUCACCACUAUACUAGUGCAGGAGAAGCAGAAAGGAAGAUGCUGCUACCCAGAGCCAACAGUCAUUGUGCCCCUGAUGCCGCUGGAACCCCACUGCAGCUGCUUUACAGGAAGCAGGGAAUUAGAGCUCUUGCUGAUGCUACAGGUAUCCAGGAUCCAAAAGAUAUCAGCUGCUGUCCCUGUUGCAGCCUAGGGAAACUGUCCCACUGAGACUGUUGGGGUACCUGCUACUGCAUCUACUGUCUGAACCAUGUUGCCUGAGCAGAUGUCCAGGGCUCAGGCUUGCCUGCUGCUUUUACUGCUGCCACCAUGUUUAUCAGAGCUACUUCAAGAAGAGAAGAAAUCCUCCUCAUUUCCAGUUUUUUCCAAUGCCUCCCAUUGCUUCCCAGAAUGCCAAAUUCUCUUUGAGAGACAGCUGAAAGGAAGGUUUGGAAAAGACUCUGGUGCAUGCAGAUUCUGCUUCCCUGCAAUAGGGGGAAAGCAUAGGGUGGAACUGGAGCUGAGAGCUAAUCAUGAAUGAGCAAAUCAGUCUUCAAGAUAUUUACCUUCCCUUGAAAUGUUUCCCUUCUUUUACCGUGUUUUCCAUGUCAUUAUUUUUCCACAAUUCUGCAUCAUCUUCUGUUAACUAUUAAUGCCCUGGAUAAGUUUAUUUGCUCUUUCUUAGGGUUAAUUUUUCUCCUUUUCUUUGAAGCUUUAGUUUGCAGGUUCAGCUUGUGUGGGAGUUUUCAUCUCCCUCCUCUUCAAGACUCCUUGGAUAUCAGUUUUUUGGUUGCCUUCACCAACUCUCCCCCCACCAUCUCUAGACCAGGGCAUGGCCUUAGUUGGUGGCUUGGACUCCUGUCGCUUGGUGUGUUUGGGGAUAUUAGAGAUCCAGUCACUGAUCUGGCAAAGGGAACACUGUCCUUGCUUCCAGCUUUAGGAAGAACGCUUUGCUGUGUCACCCCACGUGAGUCCAACUCUUGGCUGCCUACACUGCCUGAGGCUUCAGUUCUGGCAUCGUGCUGCAGGCCAUGGGAAAAGAGACCUAAGAAAUGAUGCCCAUCCAGAAGAGUGAAGACUUCCUGGCAAUGUUCUUUUAACCUAAGAUGUAGGUUAAGAGGAGUGAAAAAAUGCUGUUUCUGACUGAUGAUGGAGCAACAAAGAUCCUAAGAGUGAUCCCGCAAUUCAUUCAUCUUGAAUAGACUCAUAGAGCUUCCAGAGUGGGCUUCUGGAGCCCACCCCAACUCCAUUCUUGUUCCUUGGUCCCUCUGGAGCUGGUCUGGCCCCCAAGGAUGUGAGCCAAAGGUUUCUAAAUGUUUGAUGAGUUCCAGAGUGUUUGACUUAAUUUUUGUUGAUGCACUGACAGUUGGGGCACUUCAAAAAAAUUCAUGGGUUUACUGUUUUUCUUGAUUUUUGCAUAGGUUACUUCACUUUUCUUAGUUUUUAAAAUACGAAUAAUAAUGUCUUCCUUGCUGGUUUCACAAACUCUGUUUUAUUUGUAUGUGAAGGCUAAAUUAGCAAUGCAUGUAAAAGUACUUUACAAGAUGUAUAAUACUAAACAAAUAGGAGAGUAACAUUACUUAAUUUUGUUUGGUGGAGGUAAAGGGGAGAAAAUAGCAUAGAACCACUUAUAUCAUAGUCUCAGUGAUAGAAACCAGUGGAAGAGAGCACAUGGUAAGACUCUAAAAUUGUGUUUAAUUUUCUUUAUUCAACUACAUACUGCCAUGUGCUAAAUGUCUAAGUUUCCACUAAUUAUUCAUCAGAGCUGGCAAGUAUAGCUUGACAUUUGAUGUACACACCUUGCCUGGAAAGCAUAUCAAUGUCAUCCGUAUUCUUGGACUUGCUUUCCUGGAUAAUUUUUAUCAACACAUUGGUACCAGCUGUGGCUUGAAAACAUUCAAAGCAGCCAUCUUUAAAUACUUUAAAAUCUAAUGAAUAGGAAUUUUAUUGGACCUAACAAAAUUGUUGCCAAAUGGGACAUUUGAGAGCAGGACUAACUUUUGAACACGUUUUUAAACACAAUGGUGUUGAAAUCUUGUGAAUAAAAUGUUUUUAUCUUGUGAAUUUUGAUAGUUUGACUCUAAUCAGUGUGUCCCUGAAACUUUGACUAUGGAAGAAAAGGAGUAGAGCAGGUUGGCCGAAUAGAACGUUCCACUGAUUGUCUCACUCCACCCCCACAAGGAUACCAAUUUAAUAACCAUCUACAUGAAAAAAGCACUUUCGUAAGAACAAAAAAUCAAGCAAGCACCCACAGUACCUAGUUUUAAAUUCAUAUUGCUGAAAGAGGCACUAAAGAGGGUAGGAGACAGUCUUGAAUCACUGAUGCCACUCUUCCCCCGUAUUCCCCGGCAGCUGCUGCAUGGCAUGGAGAAUGAAUCUGUGUACUUUGGAGAGGAAGAGUGCAGCAAUUGUGAGACACUGCACGGAACUCAGUGGUGCCUUGUCACAGCAGAAAGCAAAACAAUGCUGAAAUCAGCUGACUCCUGCCACAGAGGUAGUAUUUCAACCAGCCCUAACCAGAGGGGACUCACCCAUCCCAGUGGUUAGCACUUGAGUUUUGGCAACCCUUGCCACUGUAAGCUAAAGUGCCCUGGGGUAUUAAAUAAACUUGAAAGGUAGCCUAGACCACAAGGACUGCAACUCGUAGGAGAGGCUUAGGGCUGAACUGGGCUCAGAGCUAAUGAAUGGGGGCAGCAUGGGACCUACUGAGCCAGUAGCUGGGGCAGCUAAGGGAGUGCGUACGCCACCCCUCCCCCAACCCCAGGCUGCACAGCUCGUGGCUCCAAAAGAGGCCCUUUCUCUUUCUGCUUAAGGAGAGGGAUGAGUGGGGAGGACUUUUUUUUGCUCAGUCACAGUAGGAUAGGGUACCAGUCAGAGUUUGAGGCCCCCUUUCUAGCUCCUGGACAAUGUUACUAGAUACACCCUGAGCCAGAAGGGAACCUGCUGCCUUGAAGGGAAGAACUCAGUCCUGACAGGGCCUAUCACCUGCUGAUUAAAGAGCCCGUGGGCACGGAAUAACCAGUAGCAAUACCCAGGUAGUAUAUUAUGGGCCUUGGAUGAGACUCUGAGACUUUCUGGCUCUGGGUGAAACUUCACACAUUCCCAGCUGUGGUGGCUAAGGGGAGAAGACUCCUUCUGCUUGAGAAACUCAGAGGGAAAAGUUAGGGGGUUUUGCCUUGCACCCUUGGUAACAGCUUGGCCACAGCAGGGUACAGCACAAAGCAGGUUCUUGGGGUCCUUGAUUCCAGGCCUCUACUCUUGGAUGGCAUCUCUGGACCUCUGCUGGGCCAGAGUGGAGCCCACUGCCCUGAAGUGUGAAUCCCAGUCCAGGCAGCAUUCGUGACAAGCUGACCGAAGAGCCCUUAGGCCUUAAGAGAACACUGACAGCAGCCUGGCAGGACUCCCCAUGGGCCUGUGGUGGUGGCCACUGAGUGAGGCUCCUCUGCCUGUGGAAAGGGGAGGGAAGAGUGGGAAGGCUGCACAUUGUGGUUGAGUGCCAGCUCAGCCACAGUACAAUAGAAUACCGGGUAGACUUCUAAGGUUUUUGACUCUAGUCCUUGGCCCCCAGAUGGCACCUCUAGACCCUCUGGGGCCUGAGAGAACUUGCCACCCUGAAGGAAAGUACGUAAGACUGGCAGGCUUCCCUACCUGCUGAUUGUAGAGCUCCAGGGUCAUGAGUAAACAUAGUCAGUAGCCAGGUAGUGGUUAUAACAGGCCUUGGAUGAGACCCGGUGCUGUGCUGGCUUCAGGUCUGACCCAAUGUAGUCAUAGCGGUGGUGGUGGCCACAGGGGUGCUUGUAUUACUCCACCCCCAGCUCCAGGUAGCUCAGAACAGAGAGAGAAACUUCAAUUGUUUGGGAGAAAGUAAGGGAGGAGAAUAAGGAUCUCUGCUGGAUAAUUCAGAGACUUAUUCCAGAUCUUAUCCAAGAUCAUCAAGGCAGUACUCCGUGAGUCCGCAAGAACCAUAGCAUUACUGGACUUGGAGUGCCCGCCAAUGCAGACAUGGAUCACAAUCCCAAGUCUUUUCAAAUACCUGGAAAGCCUUCUCAAGAAAGGUAGGUACAAACAAACAAGACCAAACUGUGAAGACUACAAUAAAUACCUAACUCUUCAAUGCACAGACACAGAUGAACAUUCGCAAGCAUGAAGACCAUCCAGAAAAACAUGACCUAACCAAAUGAACUAAAUAAGGCACCAGGGACCAAUCCUGGAGAAACAGAGAUAUGUGACAUUUCAGACAGAGAAUUCAAGAUAGCGGUGUUGAGGAAACUAAAAUCAAUUCAAGAUAACAUAGGAAGGAAUUCAGAAUUCUGUCAGAUAAAUCUAACACAGGUUGAAAUAAUUAGUAAGAAUCAAGUAGAAAUUUUGGAGUUGAAAAAUGCAACUGACUUUCUGAAGAAUGUAUGAGCCUUGUAAUAGCAGAAUUGAUCAAGCAGAAGAAAGAAUUAGUGAGCUUGAAGACAGGCUAUUUGACAAUAUACAGUCAGAGGAGACAAAAGAAAAAAAAGAAUAAAAAACAAUGAACCUUGCCUGUGGGAUUUAGAAAAUAGCCUCAGAAGGGAAAAUCUAAGAGUUAUUGGCCUUUAA